rnacentral:misc_RNA from 1 species
AAAAAAUUUUCAAGAAGAAUAUUAAAAAUUAUCUUUAUGAAUUGAUUCACAAAUAAAUAUCAAUCAUAAGUCUAUAAACAAAUUAUACAUGUUAAUUAGACUAGGAAACAAAUAUUAGGGAUCUGAUAUCAAUGAAGAAAAAUUAUAAAGACCCAAUACAUGAAUCCUAACUCAAGUUCAAACAACCUUAAGAUAUCCACCAUAUUUGUAUCGGAUAAAUUUCAACAACUGUCUCAAAUGAUAGUUGAUGCUUACACCUUGAAGAGCUUUCGAGUUAUGUUAUGUAGCUUUCGUUGGAGAAUCUUCCUCAGAAGAAGAUGAAGACAAUGGUACUGUUGCUUGAUAAACCCAUGAUAACUGCAAACAGAUUUGAGGAAUUAGUACUAUUGCAACUUGGAUCCAAACAAGUAAAUUCACUUAAAAGUUAUAAUGAACUUACCUUGAAUGGAAGACGAACCUAAAGAACACAAAGAAGGGAUGCAAAAUGAAAUCAUCUUUAUUGUUAUUAAUUAGUUUAGGCUUUUAUUUUAUUUGUAAAUAGGAUUCUUAGUUAAAUUAGGACUAUUGUAUUUGCCUACAAAUAGAAAUAUAAUAGUAGAAAUUUAUGUACUUGCCUAAAUAUUCUAGGUUUUUCAAGUGAUUGAUCCACCACACGUGACAAAUGAAUCCAUUUCUUUGAAAAAGAUCAUUGCUAUUUCUUGAUAUUACUUUAUAGAAAAUUCUCUUUUAUAGGACAAAGAAGAAUGGCAUAACGAAAGCUUUUUGAUAUAUUAGCUCUAAGGUUGCUAUUAGAGUUGUUCACAAUUUUGCUACUUGCUAAAUUAGGGUUUGCAUCGCAGCGCCACUCUGUUACACUGUGGCUUAGUGAUGCUUUAAAGACCAUAAAAUUUAACCCUUCAAUGCUAGUUCUAGUAUUUUUGUUCAUCUGAGUUCAAAUGGACCUAAUUGAGGUGUUUGAUUAGGAAGAAAAUGAAAGCGAGAGAAAGAGCUAAGAAAAACAAGAGAACAGAAGCUUCCAGGAAGAAGAAACCGAUUGUAUCAGAUUCUUUUACAUGAACAAAAUAUGUAACAAGAAUACAAGAGCUGGACAGUCCGUAGCCUCUGAAAGAGAAUGAUGAUGAAGAAUGUAUAACAGAAUGUAGUUCAUUCACUAAUGAGAUGAAGAAUGUAUAAAGAAUUUUUGUAAAGUUGGAAUAACAUGAAAGGGAUAUGUCCAAGCAUAUAACAUUGCAAUUUGUAUAUGGCAAAACUUAGGUAAUUCACUAAUUCUUGAGGUAGAUGCCCUUGAUGUUCUUUUUGCUCAUAGGUAAGGAUAGAAGAUUAUGCAUUCCUACUGUAACCUGAUAAGGAAGAUCAGUUGCAGCGGAAGAGAGAAUGAAUGUUGUGUAACCAAAAAACAAGGGAUUUGGUGCAGAUAGGCUAGUUGCAUAAGCAAAUGAGCUGUGAAUUGGGACUGAUGUCUUAGUGGCUAGUGGUCAUGGCAAGCAUAUCAUCAAGAAGUAUGUAAGUGGAGCUAUGCUGCCUACGAUUUUAGUGUAGUUGGUCUUAGCUUCCAUUUUUGUACCCCAAAAAAAAAAUAAAGAGAAGAAAAGAAAAGAAGCUUUCUACCAUCUCUAUGCCACUGUAAUUUCUCCAAGAUGAAUUAUAUCAAAACAAAACAGCCAAAGUCAUGCAGCAUCUUAAAGUCAAUAACCGAAAAACAGAAUAUGCCUAUCUUUUCUGUGAAAACAAGGUGAUGAAGCCUUGAUCUGCAGCUUCUAGUACCUAGGGGUUCCACAAUCUGAUCUUAGCCAUUGGGACCUGCCAAACAAAGCAAAACAGGUUAUCCCAAAUACAUCUACAGGCAAUUUCAAUUUUGUAAAAUCAUUUGGUAUGUUCUAUGUAUUUCCAUCUUUUUCCCCUGUAUACUCCAACAGCAACUGAAUUGAGAUCAUAGGGAAUUUACCAUGGGGGCAAUAAGGGCACUUGCCUCCACCACCCCUUGGAAAUCCUUUAUAUAAUUAGGUUAUAUGUUGACCCCACUAAAUUUAUUAAUUUUUCCCCAUAGUUCACUUAAUCAUUUAAGUUGCUUAUUUAUUGUACUUUGAAAGAAAAAAAUCAUACGAUAUGGAAUAUGUGCACGAAACACAUCCAAGAAGAAAAAGAAGAAUGUUACAAUCUUUGAGGAUGUGCAUAGAGCUAUGUUGCCUAGGGUUGAUGAGUGGAAGAAGAAGUAGAAGCUUCUCCGUGUGAUGAUAAAGGGCUACUGUGGGACGUUACAUAACUUAUCUGAGCAAUCAUGUCUAAAUUUUGAUCAAUAUCCCCAUAUCAAUUUAGGAAGUUUACAAGUCUAACAAAUGGAUAUGCAUUCAUUUCCGCCACCUGUACCCAAGUCCGUGUAACAUAGUUGCUUGUGUCACUGUAAUUUCCACUAGAUGAAUUAUAUCAAUACAAAGAGGGGAGAAAAAUAUACUAAGAAUGAAUUGGCACAAAAAAAUAAAGCAACCAGCAGGAUAGGACUAACAAAUGUUAAAGGAAAAAAAAUUGAGAGUAAUUGAACUACAUAUAAAAAAGAAAUACAUACCUUGAGCCACCAUCC